rnacentral:rRNA from 1 species
UACGAAGGGGGCUAGCGUUGCUCGGAAUCACUGGGCGUAAAGCGCACGUAGGCGGAUUGUUAAGUCAGGGGUGAAAUCCUGGAGCUCAACUCCAGAACUGCCUUUGAUACUGGCGAUCUCGAGUCCGGGAGAGGUGAGUGGAACUGCGAGUGUAGAGGUGAAAUUCGUAGAUAUCGGGAGGAACACCGGUGGCGAAGGCGGCGACCUGGGUCGAGACUGACGCUGAUGCGCGAAAGCGUGGGGAGCAAACAGG